rnacentral:snoRNA from 1 species
GCAUGGCUGAAUUCUGUUUUACUUUUUCUGUAGUAAAUGCAGUCAGACACCAUGCCAGAUUACCAUUCUUUCUCAUGUAACUACAGUGGUAGUGUAUUGCAUCUUAUCACUGAUAUUGAGGGGGAACACAC